UCUGUGCUGCAGCUUGAGGCAGAACAAGCCACCUUUGUGCAGGGGAUCAUGGGCCACAUGCCACUCUCCAGGCUGCUGUGGGUAUUCGUGGCCUUCGUCUUCUCUGGAUCCAGUGUGGCCCAGAAAGUUGCCCAAGACCAGCCAAUCAUAUUCAUGCAAGAGGGGGCAAAAGUUACCCUGAACUGUCAGUAUGAAACAGGACAGAGCUUAUACUAUAUUUUUUGGUAUAAGCAGCUUACUAGUGGAGAGAUGAUUUUCCUUGUUCGUCAAAGUUCUUCUGGUGAGAACGCACACAGUGGCCGCUAUUCUGUAAACUUACAGAAAGCAGCUAAUACCAUCAGCUUCAGCAUUUCAUCCUUACAGCCAGAAGAUUCAGCAAAAUAUUUCUGUGCUAUCUGGGAAAACACAGUGCUUAAAAUAAUGGUAAAAGCUCAACAAAAACCCUAG